CCUCUAGUGCCUAGAAUGGUGCCAGCCAUCUGUGGCUGCUCCAUCCAGGGAGACUGAAGUCAACACGAAAGAAUCACUGAAUGGGAAUCAGUCUGGCUGCCUUCAGAACUCAGCUAUAAGCCAUUUAUAUGAUGCUGUGUACUUUAUAGUCUUCAGUUUCCUGGAUAAUGAAAUGAGAUGACUCGA